GUGACACAUCUGGAGAUUUUCCACUGCCUGAAAGCUGCCUCGCGCCUAACCAUGUUUUUCUAUGGGUCUCGUGUGAAGAAGAAUCUCCAUUGGGUGAACGAGUUGACAGCGUUGCAUGAGAACCUUGGCGUCUGAUAUUCACACCUGCUUGUGAAACAAACUACCGAGUGUUUCAAUUACCCUCUGACCUUAGAAAAAUGGAGGCUUCUAAUUUGAGCUGUUGCUAGUCUUAAGCAAACAGCUUCUGCAGUUUUACACAACACUCUUGCUAGCCAAAGGAAGAAAAGUGUUGAGGUUUUUUUUUUCCCCCUGUGUGCAAAAGUUAGAAACAAUUUUCACUUUCAUUUCAGACUAUGAAAGCCGAGUCACAGCCAUAGCCACCCUCAUUGAGAUCUAGUUCUACCUGCAUCGGCAGGGUUACUCUUCAUGUGCGUCAGAGUAGAACCCAUCACUGGUUCUGGAUUCCAGUGGAAAGGUAUGAAUUAAAGUAAGCAGGGGCCAUAGCGAUGUGGCCAGCAAAGUUCUUGCUCAACAAGCAUGCUCACCAAGUUCAAAGCCAACACCUAUAUUUAAAAAACUGGGACCAAGCAUUCUGGAGCAUGACUUUAACCCCUAUACUCAGAAGAUAGAGGUAGAUGUUAUCUCUGUGAGUUUAAGGUCAACCUGCUCUACAUAUGGAGUUCCAGGACAACCCGGGACUACAUAGAGGGACCCUGCCUCAAACAAACAGAAAUAACGACAAACAAGACAUGCCAGCCCUGGGGCUGGAGAGAUGAGUCUUCAGUUUAGAGCACGGGCCUCUCUCACAUAGGACUUGGGUUCCAUUCUAGCAUCACUACGGCAGCUUACAACCACCUGUAACUCUAGUUCCAGGGACUCUGACGCUCUCUCCUGGCUCCUGCAGUAACCAGGAUCACAUGUAGUACACAUGUAUACAUGUAGGCAAAACAUUCAUAAAGUAAGCAAAUGAUUUGUAAAAUUCAAAGUGAGUCGUCAGAGUCCUGUGAACCUGUAGGGUCAGUGUUGGAGAGGCAGAGAUAGGUUAGACCCUGGGUCUUGGUAGGUAGCUGGUCUAGCCAACACAGGAAGCUCCUGACUUAUCGAGAGAGCCUGUCUCAAUGCAUAAGAGGGGUGGGUACUGCCAAAAUGGCCGAUCAGGUAAAGGGGUUUGUCACCAAGCCUGAGGGCCUGCGCUGGAUCCCCAAGACACACAUGAUGGAAGAAGAGAAACAGCCCCCCCCCCCAAGUUAUCCUCUGACUACCCUAUAGCAUGAGUACACCUACAUUUAUUCAUGUACAAGCAAAUAAAUAUAAUAAACAAUUUUAAUAAAGAAAAAGGAUGGAAAGCA
rnacentral:lncRNA from 1 species